rnacentral:rRNA from 1 species
GGCAUGUCGCGGCAUGUCCUGUCGGUGGUGAACGGAGUCCACGACGCUACAUGGGCUUUAUAGUCGAUGUUAGCAUCGUGUGUACUUCCGUUGGCCGAUCUCUCCUACUUCGGUGCUCUUAAACGAGUGUCGAGGUAGGCCGACACGUUCACUUUGAACAAAUUAGAGUGCUUAAAGCAGGCUGAAAUAUCUGCCUGAAUAGUGGUGCAUGGAAUGAUAAAACAGGACCUCGGUUCUAUUUUGUUGGUUUUAGGAAUAUGAGGUAAUGAUCAAUGUGGACUGGCGGGGGCAUUCGUAUUGCGACGUUAGAGGUGAAAUUCUUGGAUCGUCGCAAGACGCACUAGAGCGAAAGCAUUUGCCAAGUAUGUCUUAAUUGAUCAAGAACGAAAGUUAGAGGUUCGAAGGCGAUCAGAUACCGCCCUAGUUCUAACCAUAAACGAUGCCAGCCAGCGAUCCGCCGAUGUUCCUUUAA